GAAUUGACGGGGGCCCGCACAAGCGGCGGAGCAUGUGGAUUAAUUCGAUGCAACGCGAAGAACCUUACCUGGGCUUGACAUACACCGGAUCGGGCUAGAGAUAGUCUUUCCCUUGUGGCUGGUGUACAGGUGGUGCAUGGUUGUCGUCAGCUCGUGUCGUGAGAUGUUGGGUUAAGUCCCGCAACGAGCGCAACCCUUGUCUUAUGUUGCCAGCAUUUGGUUGGGGACUCAUGAGAGACUGCCGGGGUUAACUCGGAGGAAGGUGGGGAUGACGUCAAAUCAUCAUGCCCCUUAUGUCCAGGGCUUCACACAUGCUACAAUGGUCGGUACAACGCGCAGCGACACUGUGAGGUGGAGCGAAUCGCUGAAAGCCGGCCUUAGUUCGGAUUGGGGUCUGCAACUCGACCCCAUGAAGUCGGAGUCGCUAGUAAUCGCAGAUCAGCAACGCUGCGGUGAAUACGUUCCCGGGCCUUGUACACACCGCCCGUCACGUCAUGAAAGUUGGUAACACCCGAAGCCAGUGGCCUAAACUUGUUAGGGAGCUGUCGAAGGUGGGAUCGGCGAUUGGGACGAAGUCGUAACAAGGUACCCGUACCGGAAGGUGCGGGUGGAUCACCUCCUUUCUAAGGAG
rnacentral:rRNA from 1 species